rnacentral:rRNA from 1 species
UUAACAGGAUUAGAUACCCUGGUAGUCCACGCCGUAAACGAUGGACACUAGUUGUUGGAAUUAUUCAGUGACUAAGCGAAAGUGAUAAGUGUCCCACCUGGGGAGUACGGUCGCAAGAUUGAAACUCAAAGGAAUUGACGGGGGCCCGCACAAGCGGUGGAGCAUGUGGUUUAAUUCGAUGAUACGCGAGGAACCUUACAGGGCUUAAAUGUAGAGUGACAGGUCUAGAGAUAGAUUUUUCUUCGGACACUUUACAAGGUGCUGCAUGGUUGUCGUCAGCUCGUGCCGUGAGGUGUCAGGUUAAGUCCUAUAACGAGCGCAACCCUUGUCGUUAGUUGCCAGCAAGUAAAGUUGGGGACUCUAGCGAGACUGCCGGUGCAAACCGAGAGGAAGGUGGGGAUGACGUA